UACGUAGGGGGCUAGCGUUAUCCGGAAUUACUGGGCGUAAAGGGUACGUAGGUGGUUUCUUAAGUCAGAGGUGAAAGGCUACGGCUCAACCGUAGUAAGCCUUUGAAACUGGGGAACUUGAGUGCAGGAGAGGAGAGUGGAAUUCCUAGUGUAGCGGUGAAAUGCGUAGAUAUUAGGAGGAACACCAGUUGCGAAGGCGGCUCUCUGGACUGUAACUGACACUGAGGCACGAAAGCGUGGGGAGCAAACAGG
rnacentral:rRNA from 1 species